AGUCUCGACUUUCUCUGCUAUUCAGUGUACAGGAUGGAAAACACGGAUGCAGUGGCUUCAGGUUUUUAUAUGAAAGUAACAUCAGCCAUUCAGAGAGAGUCUGACUUGACAUCGUGCCACAUUCAAAAUUCUCAGGGUGCCAGUGGAGAGCCUCCAGUGGCCAAGGACAGUGCUCCAAAGAAGAGUCUGGAAGCUGGUUGUUGGAGGUUGACCUGUGCUGUCAGGCAGCCUCUCCCCACAUGAUGGUGAAGAUGAUCACCAGUUGUAUCAGAUCUUUAUCCUACCAGCUUAGCAACACUGGCAGAAAGGGAGCACUUUCUCUGCAGAUGUUCUAGCAAAAGUCUCAUGGCUGAAUUUCAUUGACUUAGCUUGAGUCACAUGCUCACCCCUGAACCACUCUGACUGACUGACUAUGCCUGGGACAUGUGCUCACCUCGGAGUUGAGAGGAGGGUUAGCCCCAUCCAAACACCACCAAGUAAGAGAGGUAGAGGUGCUGCACAGGAAAUGGGGCCCUGAAGUCAGAGGACUGGGGAGUGGGCGCUGAGCAGACAUGAAGAAUGGAUGCUCACCUCCAGGGCCAGGCUGGGAUCUUAUGGAUGGAUCUUAUGAAGUAGCUCAGGGGCUCUCCAUGGUUUUCAUUUCUAGAGUCCUGGGAUGUUAGGGCCAGACAAAAGCUCAGAUCUUAUGCAUCUUCUGCCCAACUCUGCAUUUUACAGAUGAGAAAACUGAGCCUUGAGAAGAUGGGGGCCAUUUGCCCAAAGUCCCUGAGUAUGAAUCAUCUGAGGAGGAGGGCACUGUAUCAACAGUGCUUCUCUGAGUGACUCAAACCCAAUGCUACACAAGAAGGACUUUUACCCAACCAUGACGCUACCAAGCGUGUAGCAUCCUAGUAGAUUGUUCACCACUUAUCACUCAUAUGUGGUCUAGAGACCAGCAGCAUCAGCAUCACCUGGGAGCUGGCUAGAAAGACAGAAUUUCAGGCCCUGCCCCAGACCUACUGAAAUGGAAACUUCAUGUGAAAAAGGUCCCCAGCUGAUUGUGUGCAUGUUGAAAUUUGAGAAGUGCUGGUCUCUACCAUGGAUCAAGGAGUUCCAGGUGACUUUUCCAUCUGGCCAGGAUUGCAGUUAGUCCUAAAACAAGUUCUCUUCUCCUAAACCUUGCAGAAGAGGAGGAUUUUGCAAUCUAUGAGCUUACCAGGGCUAAAGAAGUUCCUGCAAGAGAAGAGUGGGGCCUGGGUCUGCCUUUCCCAUUGCCAAGAUGCCUUCUGCUGGCAACAUCAUCCAUUAUGACUGAUCAUGGCAAAUGCCGGUCAGCUGGCCUCACAGCAGGUGUUAGGAAAAUAGUCUUUGGCUUGAUUAUGUUAUCUGGCUUUCCCCAAGGAGCAACUUCUACAAUCAUCACUGGAGAGAUGCUUUCCCAGCCGCAUAGGCAGUGUUAAUUCCAGGCGAUGCCGACCUGCUUAGGGCAACCAGAUGAGUAAACCUGGCCUCUGCCCUGAUGGUGUGUGCCUCAUAGUCUGGGAAGAUAGACAAUCAACAAAUAAGCAGAAAGGUGAGCAAGAUGAUUCCUGAUGGUGGUAAGGCCUCUCCAAAGAAGCGACAUCUGAGUUGAGAGGGAAGGAGAAGGAGCUGGCUGUGCAGACACCUGGAGCCCAUUUCCACAGUGUCCUCACAUAUGUUCAAGCCCAAAAGAAUCUUAUACCUGGACCCCCCAGUCCCUAGCCCCUGGGGACUGGAAUUUACCUUUGAGCAGGACCAUCCCUUGAUUCUGGGUGUGAGCACUUGGUGAGAAGAAAAUAAGCAAAAUAACUAUCCACGGUUCUUGGGGAUGCCCUGAAAGCUCAAAUACUGAAGCUGCAGAUGGAGCAGGUGUGCAUUCUCAUCCAAGCAUUUGCUUGCUGGAGUUGAGGAUUGAGGACCAGAUGGUGGCAGAAGGGAUAUGCAGGCUUGCUCUUGCUCUCACCUGAGGCUGGAGAGAAGUGCCACGUCUGGGCCUGUAUCCCCAUGUGGGUGAAUGUGAGCCAUCCUGCCUCCUGGGCUGGGGGUGGGAGCUGCCGCAGCAGACCACAGCAAUGGCACAGCAGGAUGUCAACACCAGAAGGACCCGUGGGCACAUUCCUGAGCUCAGGAAAAGACUCAGAAUGGAUGGAAGUUGUUUAUAAAUUCUCCUCUGCUGCAUAAUAUUAAGAAGGGGAAAGAGGAGUGCUGGACUCACCCUGAAUUCUUUCUUGCGCGAGAUCCAAGAAUUGUCUCUUGGGGUCUGUGCUGGGACUGCUUUCCUGUAACAUAUUUCUGGCUUCCACAGAAGGGACUAUAGUGAGGAAACCACUGACUUUGGAUCACUCCCUGCAGGUGAAGCCAACUGCCAUGUUGUGCAGAGGCUCCAGCCUCCCGUGGAGAGGCCCACAUGGAGAGGAUCUGCCAUUGCCAGCAGGAGCUUUCCAGCCAUAUGAUUUCUGGCAUGGGAGACACUGAACCAUAACCACCCAGCUAAGCUGCCCCUGGAUUCCUGACCUGCAAGACACGAACAGGGCAAGUUAAUUCUAUUGCGCCCUUACAGAUGGAGCAAUGCACACCCUUCUCCAUAUGUAUUUGUGCACGUGUAUGUCUGUUGGAAAGAUGGGUCCUAGAAAUAGAGUUGAGAGGGUAGAAGUUUAUGCAAGUUUUGAAGUUUGAUGGACUCUGCCAUUGCCCUUGGAAAAAGCUGUGCCUUGUCAUUUUGACUGGAACCUACACUGUCAGCUUUCCUGGUUCUCAGGCCUUUGGACUCAGACUGGAACUGCACCAUCAGCUCUCCUGGGUCUCUAGCUUGUCAAUUACAGGCAAUGACUCCUCUCGUGGUGACAAGAUGGCUGCCGCAGCUCUGAGAAUCACAUCCUCACGAGAUAGCAUCCAGAUCCAGGAAGGGAAGACAGCCAAAGCAGGAAAGGCACUUUCUCUGCAUGUACCACUCUUUUAUUAAAGGGACUGUGAAGAUUACCUCCUG
rnacentral:antisense_RNA from 1 species